rnacentral:rRNA from 1 species
AACGAACGCUGGCGGCAGGCCUAACACAUGCAAGUCGAGCGCGCCCUUCGGGGUGAGCGGCGGACGGGUGAGUAACGCGUGGGAACGUGCCCUUUUCUACGGAAUAGCCUCGGGAAACUGAGAGUAAUAUCGUAUACGCCCUUUGGGGGAAAGGUUUAUCGGAAAAGGAUCGGCCCGCGUUGGAUUAGGUAGAUGGUGGGGUAAUGGCCUACCAAGCCGACGAUCCAUAGCUGGUUAGAGAGGAUGAUCAGCCACUCUGGGACUGAGACACGGCCCAGACUCCUACGGGAAGCGGCAGUGGCGGAUCUUAGACAAUCGGGGCAACGCUGAUCUAGCCAGGGCGGGUGAGUGAUGAAGGCCUUAGGGUAGUGAAGCUCUUUCAGCUGGGAAGAUAAUGACGGUACCAGCAGAAGAAGCCCCGGCUAACUCCGUG